GACUGACAUAUUAUAAUAAUUUUAGGACACAAAUUUAUACUUAAUAUAUUGAUAUGAUCAAUAAAAGGAUAAUUUCUUUUUCAUUCAAGUGUGAUGUGUCCUUGAAUCGUCUAUGAAAUUAGUUUCGAUACAUAUUCUCAAGGUGUUGAGAAUUAGAGACAUGUAUUUAAUUCUUAAAUACUCCCCAUCAUAGGAUCAUCAUGAGGAUGGUGAUUGAUCUGGAUAGACUGAUGAACAAAUCACUUCCUUCUAGAUAGAUGAGUCUCUGGUCUACUAUGUAGAGACACAAGACGAUGAGUGUGGGU
rnacentral:lncRNA from 1 species